rnacentral:lncRNA from 1 species
GUGUUGUUAGUAUUCCUGAGUCGAAGCAACUUAUUUCUGGGAAAAGAGUAUUUCGUCCAAGCUCCAGCAUCAGACACACUCCUCAAUGGUACUAUACUCAUCUCUCACUUUCUUUUUCACUUUCUCUCAGAAACAAACAAGAAAAACCUACAAAGAUUCAACAUUUUUGGCUUAUGGGUCCUCCAAAGAUGACAACUUUUCAACAAGUAUUUUGCACAAAAUUACCCUAAGCUCUGUGUCUGUGUGUUUCCAGGCCGGUCUCGGAUGUUACGAGUGACUUAACCAUAGAAGUCGGCUCUGCAACCUUUUCUCUUCACAAGGUAACCUAAAAUUCAAACUAAACUCGUGAAUGAGAAGACAUUUAUUGACUCUGUUUUUUCAGUUUCCUCUCGUCUCUCGGAGUGGAAGAAUUAGGAAGCUUCUUAUGGAUUCAAAAGAAACAAAGAACGCUUAUCACCUGAACCUAACCGCAGUUCCCGGCGGCUCAGAGGCGUUUGAGCUCGCCGCGAAAUUCUGCUACGGCAUCGUCCUCCAAUUCACCUCUUCGAACAUCGCAGCGUUGAGAUGCGUGGCUCAUUACCUGGAGAUGACAGAGGAAUUGUCGG